CAGUGAUUUGGUGGCAUCCUCGGCAUAGUCAACAAGGACUUUAAGCAAAGCCUUCAUGUUUUCUCCCGUCGAGGAUGCCAUGAUGAUAGGUGCUGCAAACAGUUAAUAUAUGAAGUAACAACUGCAUACACGGUACAAAACAUAUAGUCACAUCGACUUGAAAACUGUAAGCUUAGAACAUAAUUACUGUAACACCCCCGGUGUUACUGUAACUAAAACUUGAGCAUAACAUCAUAAGCAUUGGCAUUGCAUAUGGUUGACACACUUAGAGUGCAUUCACUAGGCAAAAAUUUCUAACAAGUUGUACUGUUUUGGUGUUUUGCAAAUAGAACCCUAGAAUGAGGGACUUAACCCUAAAUAGGGACCAGGAGGGUAAAACAUAACCCAAAUUGAGAAAACCUAAAAGCUUUAGGGGAAUAGUCAUAAAAUGUUCCCAAGAAUGAACUUGAAUCACAUUCAUACCCCUGGAUACCAAAAAUCCUAAUUGGAACCCUGAAAACCCCUAAAUCUAAACCCUAGGGGCCUAUGUGUAAAAACAUUGCACAUUUGGACUAAAGUGUAAAAACUACAAUGUUAAAGCAUAUAAAGUCAUUUGGUUCACAAAUGUGUGGACUUGUAAGCCAAAUAUUGGAUUUUGGACUUAAUUGCAAAAUGGACCUCAAUUGAGUUCUAUACUAAGUCUGAAAUUCAGUGUUGAGGGCUCAACUUUGGAGCUUUGCAUCUUUCAAAUUCUAGGGUUUUUGCCCUAGGUCACCACAUCAAAAUUGUAGCUCAAUCAUAGGAGAACAACUUUGCUUAAGAGUGUAAGCAUAGUUGUUAAGAAGAUAUUGGAGAUAAUUAAGCCUAAAGUCUGGCUGUCAGGCUGGUUCCACUCUGAAAUUCAGACUUUCAGUGUAACAGAGCCAUCUUUGGGUUUGAAUUCAACCUUGAUCUAGUGCUCAAAUGAGUUCAAUCCUUAUAGUCGAAGUAUUUCUGGUUUGUAGCUCUACAAUUUUGCUGCAGAGCAUGGAGUAUGUUACCAUAUAGAUUUGUGAGAAAAUCGAGCCUAAAUGUUGACUGUCAGGCGCUCUGAAUAAGUGCUCGCCAUGGUACAGUGACUGAAACGGAUCAGAACGCCAGCGCGGCUGUCCUCACCGCCGACGGCUCCCUCCGCCGUGAUUCGUGUCACCGGCGUCGGGAUUAGUGCCAGGGUGGAUGGAUAGCGCUGCGGGGUAAAAGAAUCUUCGCCGCCGGUGAGCUGGACUCCACUCCGGCUAGCCGCGAUACCUCUCCCCUUUCUCACCGCCCUCGGAUUGGAAUCUCAUCGCUGUCGUGCCAUCUUCGUUGUCCGUCGCGUGUCUCUGGCUAUCUACCGCAUCACGGUGACUCACCCUUGCUCUCCGUUGAUCGCCGGAGCAAUUGCCACGGCACUGGACACCUAGCUGUUGCGCCAGUGCUCUUCUUCUUUCUCUGGCCGCCGCGCGUCUCGCUCGAUUCACCGGCCACCGCUUGCGAGCGCUAUAAAUUGAGCCCGCGGCUAGCUUCGCAACAUCAUCACGCACCACCACACCCAGUAUUGCUCCCAAUCGUUCACCAAAGAGCACUAAUUUCAAACUUCCCCCAAAACUGUUUUCUGCCACCGCGAAGAGUGCCUCACCGCGGCCAGCGCAAUUCGAGUCAGCUCACGCCUUCUGCUCCCUCAAUUGAGUAUUCUCAGGUACCCGUGAUGCUCCUCGACCUAUCCAAUUGCAUUAUACCGCCAUGAAUCGCUUGGAACAUGUUGUUCCUUUAAGUUUCUCCGCUGUCACCAUAGGCAGAGGGGUGUAGAGCUUCAAUUCAAAAAUUGAGUGAGGGGAAAUACUUCUUUGGGGUAGAAUCAGGGGUAAACCGAAGACUAGCGCCAGUCUUGGCCCCCUCCGGCCGGUCUAGCUCGCCGGAGAUUGGAUUUCCUGUGUGGAGCGCCGUCGAGGACGUGUCGUGUAAAGGAAUAGAAGACCGAGGGCUUCUCUGCAAUUUGUCAGCGACACAAAGAAACAGUAAUAGAACCCAGUUAUAGUUAGCCAAAACCCCGAGGCCCUUUCUGCAAAACCUCCCUCGCGGGCGCGCGCAGCACGUUUUAGCGUGGACUUGGGCUGCCUGGGCUGAAACCGGCCCAGAACUGUUGCUGGCUUUUUCCUUUUCUUUUUCUUCCAGAGCCAAAUAAAUUGUAGGAAAUUGUAGAAAAAUCCUAAAAUUGUCAAACCAAUUUUCCUAGACUUCUUAUUUUCCAUAGAAUUUAAUAAAAUAGUUUACUGAUUUUUAGAUUAACUAAGGAAUUUUGGAGUAUUUAAGUAGCCUAAAGCAUUGCUUCUGGAUUUUUAGAAAAUAGAUGAUAAUUCCAUAAAUACCCAAAUUUUUAUAUGAGCUCUACACAUUAUAGAAGCCUUGGGUAGAGUUUGGUUUGAUUUGGACCUUGUUUGAUACUUAGAACCAAAACCCUACCCCCUGCCCUUUGAACUCAUUUACUAACUCCGGAAACCCUAAGUUCUCGGAGUUCCGUGAAGAAAAGUUGUAUUCAAGACAUUAGAUAAUAAAUCCUUAUUAUCUUUCCACUCUCAUGAGCAUUACAUGGCAUUCAUUCUUAUAUAUACCUAUAUGGUUAUAUUUAGAAAACGAAGAAGAAGUCGAAGUAACUGAAGAGAAGACACCACCACCUUCGGAAUCUCAGGCCGGAAAUUGUUUCUACUUUGAUAUUUGUGGAUCCGAGCCUGACUCACCUAUCAACGAAGGCAAGCCCCAGUGCAUUUGUCACCCUCCUUGAUGUUUUAAAAUCUUUCUCACUUGCUUGAUGCAUUAGGUGAUAAGAGUUGAUUGAUAAAACAAUUCCUGCAUUACCUUCCUUGAAUUUGAUUACCUUCCUUGAUCACCCGUUUUACAAAAGAUUUUGAUGCUUAGCCUUGCUUUAGAAAAACAAAAUGUUUUGUUUUUACAAAAGAUGAUAUGGCAAAAGUGGGUGGGAUGUUUUCGAAAAUAAAACUUGAUGGUGGAUCCAUCAGGGCCAUGAUGGGUUCAACAUCGGAAAAGAUGUACCUCUGCCAGGUACCAAACUUUGGGUUUGAAAUGAUUAAGCUGAGACGAGGCGGGUGACUUGCACGAGAAAGGAGUCUCAGUGUAGUGUAUCCGUCUGAGUCGAUUAAGGACCGUGUCGAUGUAGGCUUGCUGACCGAGGACCCUUUAACUGGUCACAUGCCUCGUCAUGGGUAAGCCUUGCCUUAGGCAGACUAAGGCCAGAAUAAGAUAACACAGAAUGGGCGUGGAGCGGUGGCGAGAGUAGCGUGUACCCUCCGUGGCAAGAGGCUGGACGGUGGUGUUUCUGUGCUCUCGGUUCGCGUGAACCUGAUCUGGUCUUAAGAACCCCGGUGGCGGGUUGACAUAUGCAAGGGUUAAGUGCUACAUAUGUCGUGUGAUUGGAGAUCCUCAGCUGAGUAUAAUCGAUUCGGAUCGUCGUACCUUCGCGGUCAUGAAGACUUGGUCACUGCCCUAUACGUAGAACUCCACUAAAGAUAAAGGGAUUGAUGAGAAAUUGGCUAGUGCAGGUCAAGUGAUUGAACUAGGGUAGAAAGAACUCUAGUCGCAGGUAAUUUUACUUAACUUAACAAAUAAAACUGGAUUUUUAAGGAUCCACUUUAGUAAGCAUUUCUGCAAAACAGAGUCUUUGAUCAUUGAGAAACCUUACCUUGACUCCCUGAUAACCAGCAUACCCUUGAGAGUCUUUUCUUUAGUCGGGUAAGACUUGCUGAGUAAUUCCAUACUCAGGGUUUUAUUCCCCGUUGUUUUUAGGUGAGGAAGCGACAAAUUUUUGUUGUUUUUGCUCUAAGGUGGUGCCAAAAGAAGAACGCAAGGAAUGAAGUGCGCGAGGAAAGGAUCCUCCAUUUAGGACUUUUGUGUAAAAACUUAUCGGGAGGAGUUUUUGCCUCCCUUGGUAUGUGUAAUAAUAUUACUCUGCACUCCUAGGAUAUAAUCUGGUCUGUACAUAUUCAACUUGAUCUUACUUUAAAAUAAAGGUAAGUUUAUGUAAUCGCUUCCGCAUUCUCGUAACUCUGAUGCUUGUAAUGUCUGCGUGACGAGUGAAACGCUCUUGGGAAAGGUGAGAAAAGCAGAUACCGAACUUGUCAAGUGAUUCAGGAGCACCUACAGGGUUGUCUGAAAUCCGUUGGAAAAGGACAACUGUAGGUGGGCCUAAUUACUUGGGAGGUUCCGUCACAAUUACGAUAAGAGUCAGAAAUAAAAUGUGGGUCCUUAAGUACUAGUACUACAAAUUAUAACUAUGAUGAAUGGAGACCUGGAUUGAAUAAUGGCCUUAAUCCCCCAAAACAAUAGUAAGUGCACUCUUUAUAGAGCAGUAACCAUAUCACUAUACCCUUCAAAACUAUCUUGCACUUCAUGAAAGCAUGGUUUUAUGGUACGGGAUGACAGUAAUCACCAACUUUAUUAUACGUAAGACAUGAUGAAGUUAUGUAUCUUGUAAAGUAUGUGAAAUAUGUGUAAAUGCAAUUGAGUAUAAUGUAACCAAAACUGGGAUUGGUUAUGAAAAAGUAGACUAAUUUGUAUAAAAAACAUUGUUGCUAGGGACAUAUACUAUUGAUGGAACCGGGACUCAUUGUUGAGAUUACUAUGAGCAUUGUAUGUCAUCAGUGUAAAACAAAAAUAAAAUGACAAGAUAAAAACAAACAUUAAUGUAUACAAGGGCAUGAAGAUGUCAUGCGCUUAACAUGAUGUAUUAAUUAAGUAUAUGAAAGAGGAAAUACAUAUGUACCAUUAAUUUUUACAAUAGCAUCAGAAGACCAGACUAUCAAAAGCAAUUCAAGUUCCCCUAAACCGCAACCUUCUUGGUGUAACAGAACAUUAGGCACAAUAAUAAAACAUGUAUGCAUGAUGUGAUAUGUAGUGCAAAAAUUAAUUUAUGAACUCUAGAUGUACCUAGGACUUGGCAGACAUUAUGUAUAAGGUUUACGGCUUAACCUUGGAUUUGAGCACAUGUAUGUGUAAUAAGCAAAUCAAAGGUUCUAUGAAUGUGUUGCAUGACCCUAAACCCUAAAGGAAAAAUAAUCCCAAACUAGACAUACUGCCAGGAGUAGGAAAUAUGGAAUGGACUAGUACCAUGUGCAAGCCAUUAGACACAUAUCUGGAUGAUGACAAUGUUGGUGAUAAUGUUUAACGGUUGACUGCAAAAUCGGGUUCUUUAACCAGAUCCAUCUUUAGACAAGUACUGAUGCAAGUGUUCCAAAUGGAUCCUUAAUGAAUUAUUGGGCUUAACUACAAAACUAAGAACGAACAAAAUCCUAAAUCAAAUGAACACGGAUUAACCUGGGAGCCAGAUUGAGAUGUGCUUCGUACCUGAGGAAGGCAAGAUCUACGGUCCAAGAGUGAGCAGUGAAGGGGAGAAAUCCGGAUCUGAGGAUGUCGUCGACGGUCGGAGUGGAGGGAGACGGAUGCGGCGACGAAGAAUAGCCUCGACGGAGUUGGAUAUGUCGGUGCUUGCUCCUCCUCC
rnacentral:lncRNA from 1 species